rnacentral:rRNA from 1 species
GACGAACGCUGGCGGCGUGCUUAACACAUGCAAGUCGAACGGGCCUUGUCCCCUUUUUUUUGGGGGUGGGGUUAGUGGCGAACGGGUGAGUAACACGUGAGUAACCUGCCCCUCACUUCUGGAUAACCGCUUGAAAGGGUGGCUAAUACGGGGUGUUCUGGCCUGCUCGCAUGGGUGGGUUUGGAAAGAUUCGACCGGUUUUGGUUGUUUUGGUGGGGGAUGGGCUCGCGGCCUAUCAGCUUGUUGGUGGGGUGAUGGCCUGCCAAGGCGUUGACGGGUAGCAGGCCUGAGAGGGUGGGCGGUCACACUGGGACUGAGACACGGCCCAGACUCGUACGGGAGGCAGGAGUGGGGAAUAUGGCACAAGGGGCGCAAGCCUGAUGCAGCGACGCCGCGUGAGGGAUGGAGGCCUUCGGGUUGGGAACCUCUUUCGCCAGUGAAGAAGGUCCUGCUCUUUGUGGUGGGGUUGACGGUAGCUGGGUUAAUGAAGCGCCGGCUAACUACGUG